AACGAACGCUGGCGGCGCGCCUAAUACAUGCAAGUCGAGCGAGAAGACGUAGCAAUACGUUUGUAAAGCGGCGAACGGGUGAGGAAUACAUGGGUAACCUACCCUCGAGUGGGGAAUAACUAGCCGAAAGGUUAGCUAAUACCGCGUACGCUCCUUGGACUUCGGUUCAGGGAGGAAAGCGAUACCGUGGGUAUCGCGCUCUUGGAUGGGCUCAUGUCCUAUCAGCUUGUUGGUGAGGUAACGGCUCACCAAGGCUUCGACGGGUAGCUGGUCUGAGAGGACGAUCAGCCACACUGGCACUGCGACACGGGCCAGACUCCUACGGGAGGCAGCAGUAAGGAAUAUUGCGCAAUGGGCGAAAGCCUGACGCAGCACGCCGCGUGGGGGAGUGAAGGUCUUCGGAUU
rnacentral:rRNA from 1 species